CAUUCAUCAAUAUACGUUUAGCACUUAGAGAAACCUUAGUAGUCUGCAAUUCAUUCAUUCAUCAUAAUGGCGGCUGCUAAAAGUUCAUUGGUUUUCUUCAUCGUUGCCUUGAUCGUUAUUUCUGCAAACUUGCAGAUGGCAUCAGCACAAGGCGUUGAAUGCACUACUGGGAAGUCCUUGACUAUUGAAUUACCCAGCGGCGAGUGCACUUUGGACACAGAUUGUGGUGAUUUAUGCAACGAGCAGUGCAUUUUACAGUUUCAAUCCGUUUCCGAAGUCUCAGUUUGUGUUCCUCCUGUCGUAGAGGUCCGACUUAAGAGUUGCUUUUGUUGUUGUGUCUAAUAGAGAGUAUACGCUACUCCAAGAGUAGCUUAGUUUUAUGACCUCGACCUAGCUAUUAACAGAUGUUAUGCUUGCUGUCGGGUUAGAAAACUAUGUCAACUCCAAGAAAUGAAGGAAAUUUUAAAUUUUAAAAUAAAAGCAGCAUUUUAAUUAUUUAAAAAAUAAUUAAUCUCAUAUAAUUAAGUGUGUGAAUGUGUUGCUAUGUAUUUAUAGCUAUAUAUACACUUAAUUAGCUGCUAGUUUAGAGUUGUCGUGUUUGUUUGUGUUCGUCGUGCAGUAUUGAUAUGGAUCAUGUAAUGGUUUUCUUAUACUUAUUCGGUGAUUCGGUCAACGUUGAUCAGUAUUUUGUGUGUACGUCUUCUUAUGAUUCUAUAUGAAAUACAUUGAUUGGUUUGCCA